rnacentral:rRNA from 1 species
UUUCCUCCCCGGAGUCCUCAACAAACCAAAAACCUCUCUCCAGCGCAGCAGCCCACCGCCUCUGCUCUCCAGCGCCGGCGAACGAUGGACCGCUUCCAGGACGGGCACCACGUGCGGCUGCGGAGCCGCGUGCCGCGCACCUACCUCCACGCCGCCGACGACGGGGAGAGCGUCAUCCUCGGCCAGCGCCGCGCCUCCAUGAACGCGGCGUGGGCGGUGCACAUCUACCACGGCGACGACGGCCCGUACCUGCUCCUCCACAGCGCCGCUUACGGCCGCUACCUCGCCGCCACGACAACGCGGUCGCGGCUCGGCCACCGCGGCCUCCGCGCGGAGCUGUGCGACUACGACACGGCGCAGUUGGAGGCCAUGAUGUGGCGGGCCGUGGGGUCGGGCUUCGCGGACGACGUCGUCCUGCUCCGCAACGUCGGCGGCCGCUACCUCCGCGCCAACGGCAGGUACAUCCGCUGGAACGCCGGCGUCAGCGUCGACAACAGCGUGAGCUCCAUGAUGUACUGGGUCGUCGAGCCCAUCCCCGCCAGAGAGGAUAUGCCUGCCCUUCCUGCCCCUCAUCCGCAUCCCCCAUACGGAUACCUCCCCUUGGGCCUGUUCAUCCACCUGGACCUGGAGCCGGGACGGCUGAUCCGGUUCGUGCGGGCGCUCGACGACGGGCAGUACCCCGAGGACCCCAUGGGCCAAGGCUGGCCCCAGUUCUGGUUCAGGGGGAGGUCCGCGUUUCGCCUGAGGGACGACCUGGGGUUCCUCGUCGGCGCCGGCGUGUACUACCGGACCGUCGCCAUGUGCGUCCGAGCGGGCCGCUACGGGAGGCUGACCCCGCUCGUCGUCGACCUGCCCGACGGCGGCUAUGGCGGCACCCUCGAGAUCAUCGUCUUCCGGGCCGGGACCCCUGCCUACAAUGAGCUGCGACACCCGGAUGUCAAUGCGGAGUAG